CCAUAUCAUGUUGAAACAUUGAUUCUCAUAUGAUCACUGAAGUUAAGCAACAUCAAGCCUGGUCAGUACCUAGGUAGGUGACCAUUUUGGAAUAACAGGUGCUGUAAG